rnacentral:rRNA from 1 species
GACGAACGCUGGCGGCGUGCUUAACAUAUGCAUGUCGAACGAUGACGACCGAGCUUGCUCGGUCUGAUUAGUGGCGAACGGGUGAGUAACACGUGAGCAACCUGCCCUUCACUCUGGGAUAACCUCGGGAAAUCGGGGCUAAUACCGGAUAUGAGCUCCUGUCGCAUGGCGGGUGUUGGAAAGUUUUUCGGUGAAGGAUGGGCUCGCGGCCUAUCAGUUUGUUGGUGAGGUAGUGGCUCACCAAGGCGAUGACGGGUAGCCGGCCUGAGAGGGCGACCGGCCACACUGGGACUGAGACACGGCCCAGACUCCUACGGGAGGCAGCAGUGGGGAAUAUUGCACAAUGGGCGAAAGCCUGAUGCAGCGACGCCGCGUGAGGGAUGACGGCCUUCGGGUUGUAAACCUCUUUCAGCAGGGAAGAAGCGAAAGUGACGGUACCUGCAGAAGAAGCGCCGGCUAACUACGUG